rnacentral:lncRNA from 1 species
ACCAAUCCAAUUACUAUUUGGCAACUAUAUAUACAUAUAUUUAAUAGGUUAAACGAUGUUUUAUGUUAAACAGUUUACUUAUACUUUAUAUCAGAGAGAAAACAUUGGUAUCAUUGUAAGGAAAUAAAUAACUCUUGAUUUCUAGAAAACAAUUUCUUUGUUAUUAGAGUUUCAGAGAAUAGAAACUCUAUGUGAAUGGUAUUUGAUUUUGGUCCACAGGCAGAAAGAUUUAUAUAUACAUAUACAUAUAUGUGUGUGUAUGUAUUUUUAAAAAAUGAUAUUUUUCCAUUAAAAUUUUUCUAAUAAAAAUUUGAUACAGAAUAAGUGUAGGUAAAUUAUAUUUAUACAGUAAUAAUCAUUAUGAUUCAGGGAACAUCACAGAAGAGUCCCAAGUGGUAAUCCCUAAAUACAUGCACAUAUAUGAGAAACAUUGAAAGGGUUGUACAUGUGUGUGUAUGUAUGUAGCAAUAAUGAUUGCAGAAGAGGCCAUGGAUCCAGGCUGGAGGGAGACAUGAGACAAGCGAGUGACUGAAAUGACAUAAAUAGGGCCCUAUGCCUGAAAUCCUCAAAGAAAAUUAUUAAUAUCAUCAUUAGAGUUACUAAAAAUUCUAAUUUUGGAAAUGCCAAGGUAACAUUUUCCCUGGCAGCCUUCUGACCAAACAGUAGGAUGUUGUAGGAUUGCUGAACUCAGUGCUUCAGAAGGGCAAAGAUCAGCUUUCCACUGUCUAAAGCAGGAAGCUGGCAAGGUUUGAUCUGUGUGAUUUCAGAGGUGGUGCCGUACCUGUGCCGUACCUGUGCCUGGGGGCUUGGCUUCCUUGAGCGGAUGCCUGCUUUCCUGCUUCAUUCUGGAGUGUGGGCAUACAGGUGACUUUAACUGUGAACAAGGGGAUGGUGUCUCCUUUGCUUCAUUAUCUCUCUCUCAUCACAUUCUGUCUCUGCUGAUUUCUGUGUUGGAUGGAGGAGCCUUCUAUCUUUUCUCUUGUGUGGCCCUUUCUUUUCUCGUCGCCCUUCUUGUGUCUCUUCUAGCUGUAGCUUUGCCAUGUUGAAUGGACUGAAUUUGGACUUUUGGCAAAUACGGCUUUAUGAUUAAAGCUUACUUUGUAGGAACCUUGAAUUUUCAUAUCCACCCAAACAUACUUCGAGUUUAGAACACCGGGUGCAGAAUAUAAGGUCCUUACAGAUAAUGAAAUGGCAAAUGCUUGUUUCUUCAUCCAGGUCGCAACUGAACAAGAACAGAGUGUCUUUACCAACAUGCUCUCUUUUUACUUAUUUUACUAAUUAGACUUGUUUCCGAGCUUACCAAAAUACUAGUUCUUCGGAUGAUGAACGCCCACACUGUCUAGUUUCUAAACCAGAGCUGGCCUUAAAGAAAUGUAUGAUUUCUUUUCUGACACGACCUUCUGAGAUAAUAAUCUCAUUACAGAAUCUCUUCUUGUGUUUGCCUCCCGCCAAGCUGCUCAUUUUCUAACCUUGACUUCCUGUGGCCCUGGUUCCUUCCUCUUACAGUGUGUGGAAACUUAGUUUCCAAGAUUUGUGUUGUAGAUAAGGCUCAGGCAGACUCUGCAGCGCUUGCAUGCAGCCCUUGCUGAUUCCCUUCCCCUCAGAGGUUGUCUUGUUUUUCAUUUCUACUUUGGAAACUGUUCUUGAAUUUACAACGUGAUUGGUUAUUGGCAUGCAUUUUUAAUAAUUUAGGUUAAUUUUUUUAUAAGGAAAAGUUCACAUUCUGGAGGUAAUGUUGAAAGUCUGUUAGGAAACUCACGAAAAAUUUCUUUCUAUAGGAAUCAUGAUGCUUUUUCCAUGUAAGUCCCCCAUACCAAACGCACAGGAGAACCCCUCGCUCAUGAGAUGUAGCUGAACUUACACUGACAUGAAUUCUGAGCUAGAUGUCAUGACUUGGGUUUGAACAUCAUCUUUAAAGUCAACACUAAACAUAAGACAUGUUAUUCCACCCAAUGUGUGUUAUCAAAAGUUAAUAUGUUUUAUACACAUGCAGAUUACUACAAAUUUUAUUUUUCUUCCCUAUAUGAACUGCAGAUUCAGAUGUACCAACUGUCCAGACUCCUUCAUGACUACCACCGAGAACUCUACAAUCAUCUUGAGGAAAAUGAGAUCAGCCCCAGUCUGUACGCUGCUCCCUGGUUCCUCACACUCUUUGCCUCUCAGUUUCCCUUAGGAUUCGUAGCCAGAGUUUUUGGUAAGAGAUGUCCAUGUUCAAGAGGGAUGGUGUUAUCUAUUCUCUUGAGUUCAUUGCCAAUGAAUUCCCCUAGGACUGGCAGAGUUCUAAGUAAAAUUCAAAUGACAUGGAAAUAAUUGGACUCCAAUAACUUCCUGGAUUUAUUUAUGUAGAAAAUGUAGAAAACACAGUUUUCAAAGCUGAUUAGGGGCAGACUCUCUAUAGCUUUCUAAAUUUUUAUUUUUCUGUUUUUUCCUUUCUCUCAUCUUCUUCAAUUUAGAUCCAAAAUACUGAGAAAGUAACCCCACUGCUGUGCUGUGAUUGCUAAUGCCAUGCCUGUUGUUCACAUGUAGCUCUGUUCCUGUCUUCUUGCUUACAUGGCUACCUUCUGUGCCAUAGCCAAUCCCUAAGAUCAUGGCUAAGAGACAAAUCACUGAGUAUAGACAGGUACAUCACUGGGUAGCUGUUGGCACUGGAACAAAGGAGAGUAUGGUAUGGUUUGUGCGCCCUCUGGGGGCCCGUACAUCUAUUCAUAAGUCUCAAUCAGGUUCGUCAGAGUAUAAUUUAAAAAGCAAAACACAAGGCUGAGUGUGGUUCCGCACACCCUUAGUCUCAGCCCUUUGGGAAGGCUAAGACAGUAGGGUUAUGAGUUUGAGCAUGUGUGAGCUACGUUAUAAAGCUCCAUCUGUCUUAGUUAUGAUUUCUGUUGCUGUGAUAAAACACAUGACCAGAGAAGGAAAGGGUUUAAUUUCAGUCCACAGUUACACACCACAGUCUAUCACCCAGGGAAGUCAAGGCAGGACCUUGAGGCUUGAGUAGAUGCGGAGGACAUGGGAAAGUGCUGAUUACUGGCUUGCUCCUCAUAUCUCCGUGAACCAUAAUCUCCCUUCUCUCCCAGUGCCAACAUUGUAGUAGGAGCGAGGUAGCUACUCAAUAACUGCUUUCUUCUAACACUGAGGACCACCCGUUUAGGGAUGGCACCAUCCACUGUGAGCUGGGCCCUCCUACAUAAAUCAUCGGUUGUAGGAAAAUGUACCACAGACUUGCCUACAGGCAGUCUUAGGGAGACAUUCUCUCAGUUAAAUCUCUCUCUUCCCCAGUUUGUGUCAAGUUGACAUAAAACUGACCGGCACAGAAUCUAAAAAU